rnacentral:rRNA from 1 species
AACGAACGCUGGCGGCAGGCUUAACACAUGCAAGUCGAGCGCCCCGCAAGGGGAGCGGCAGACGGGUGAGUAACGCGUGGGAACGUACCCUUAUCUUCGGGCUAGCUCCGGGAAACUGGAAUUAAUACCGAAUGUGCCCUUUGGGGGAAAGAUUUAUCGGAUAAGGAUCGGCCCGCGUUGGAUUAGCUAGUUGGUGGGGUAAAGGCCUACCAAGGCGACGAUCCAUAGCUGGUCUGAGAGGAGGAUCAGCCACAUUGGGACUGAGACACGGCCCAAACUCCUACGGGAGGCAGCAGAGGGGAAUAUUGGAGCAUGAGCGCAAGCCUGAUCCAGCCAUGCCGCGUGAGUGAUGAAGGCCUUAGGAUUGUAAAGCUCUUUCACCGGAGAAGAUAAUGACGGUAUCCGGAGAAGAAGCCCCGGCUAACUUCGUG